rfam:Desulfobacteraceae bacterium IS3 Ga0073107_10418, whole genome shotgun sequence.
GCCCCCGUAGCUCAGUGGAUAGAGCAAUGGAUUCCUAAUCCAUGUGCCGCAGGUCCGAUUCCUGCCGGGGGCA